rnacentral:rRNA from 1 species
UACGAAGGGGGCUAGCGUUGCUCGGAAUUACUGGGCGUAAAGCGCACGUAGGCGGUCUUUUAAGUCGGGGGUGAAAUCCUGGAGCUCAACUCCAGAACUGCCUUCGAUACUGGAAGACUUGAGUCCGGGAGAGGUGAGUGGAACUGCGAGUGUAGAGGUGAAAUUCGUAGAUAUCGUCAAGAACACCUAUAGCGAAGGCAGCUUACUAGGCUGUAACUGACGCUGAGGCACGAAAGUGUGGGGAUCAAACAGG